GCAAAGCAUGGCGGGUGUUCAGGUCAUCGAAAAUUGUGCCUCCUUCACGGGAGUCGCUGUUGUCGGUGGCCUGUUCUGAGAUUAUACCGUUUAAACUUGAUCUGGAUAAUUCCAGCGCGAAGGACUACUGCUGCUUCAUGAUG
rnacentral:ncRNA from 1 species